rnacentral:lncRNA from 1 species
GCUGUUUUGUGUAAUGGUAGAAUCAGUGGAUUCAGUAGUUUCAUUACUAUUUUUCUGAGACUCCAACUCAAACUCAUUCUUUUCCUUUUUGUCAAAUUGUUCUUCUGUCUUGUUAGAACUUUCUUGUGACUUGUUAUCCACUACAGCACUGGAGGCGUUAUCUCCGGAAUAAUUUUCCUCCCUCGCCUCAUUGUUCUUUUCACCAUCUUGAACCUGAUUAUCAGAUGAAGUAUCUUCCUUAAUCUUAUCAUGCUCUUCUUUCUCUCCUCCUUCUGUUCCAUUGGUCUCCUCUGUCCCUUGUUUACUAUCUUGCUCGUGAUUUUCUCCCACUUGUUCCUUCGCAUCGCUUCCGUUCUGGUUGCUUUCUUCAUUCUCUUUAUCUUUACUAUUUGUUUCACUUGUUUCUUCAUUCUCUUGCUUACUCUUUUCCUCGGUAAUUUCUCCAGUUUCUUUCUCUCCCCCUUCAUUUUUCUUCAAUUCAUUCUCUUGCUGACUCUUUUCUUCAUCUUUGUUCUCUUCAUUCUCUUGCUGACUCUUUUCUUCAUCUUUGUUCUCUUCAUUCUCUUGCUGAAUCUUUUCUCCAUCUUUAAUCUCUUCAUUUUCUUGCUUACUCUUUUCUUCAUCUUUGUUCUCUUCAUUCUCUAGAUGACUCUUUUCCUCACUACUUUCUCCAGUUUCUUUGCUCUCUUCAUUUUCUAAAUGACUCUUUUCCUCACUACUUUCUCCAGUUUCUUUGCUUUCUUCAUUUUCUAAAUGACUCUUUUCCUCACUAAUUUCUCCAGUUUCUUUGCUCUCUUCAUUUUCUAAGUGACUCUUUUCCUCAAUACUUUCUCCAGUUUCUGUGUCCUCUACUUCCUUUUUGAUUUCCUCAUUCUCUUUCUCUACACUUUCAUUCUCCUUGUUCUCUGCAUUGUCAUUCUCUUCAUCAACUUUCUCUGUAUGCUGUUCACCUUCCAAGUCAGUCUUAGCAUUUUGAGAACUCUCUUCACUCUCUUGCUCUACCGAAUCCUCUUUAUGCUCAGAAUUAUCUUCCACACC